rnacentral:rRNA from 1 species
GAUGAACGCUGGCGGCGUGCUUAACACAUGCAAGUCGAACGAAGCACUCUAUUUGAUUUUCUUCGGAAAUGAAGAUUUUGUGACUGAGUGGCGGACGGGUGAGUAACGCGUGGGUAACCUGCCUCAUACAGGGGGAUAACAGUUGGAAACGACUGCUAAUACCGCAUAAGCGCACAGGAUUGCAUGAUCCAGUGUGAAAAACUCCGGUGGUAUGAGAUGGACCCGCGUCUGAUUAGCCAGUUGGCAGGGUAACGGCCUACCAAAGCGACGAUCAGUAGCCGACCUGAGAGGGUGACCGGCCACAUUGGGACUGAGACACGGCCCAAACUCCUACGGGAGGCAGCAGUGGGGAAUAUUGCACAAUGGGGGAAACCCUGAUGCAGCGACGCCGCGUGAGCGAAGAAGUAUUUCGGUAUGUAAAGCUCUAUCAGCAGG